UUGGAUGUCAGCUUUUACUUGGAAACUGGGGUAAUUCUUGAGCUAAUACAGGCGAAAAAUCCCGACUCACGAAGGGAUGCUUUUAUUAGAUCAAAACCAAACAGCUUCGGCUGUAACACUGGUGACUCUGAAUAACUUUGGGCUGAUCGCAUUGCCUUGAGCAGGCGACAUUUCCUUCGAAGGUGUGCCCUAUCAACUGUCGACUGUGAUAUAUACGCUCCCAGGGGUUUUGACGGGUAACGGGGAAUCAGGGUUCGAUUCCGGAAAGGGAGCCUUAAAAACGGCUACCACAUCCAAGGAAGGCAGCAGGCACGCAAAUUACCCAAUGAACGAAGUUCGAGGUAGUGACGAAAAAUAACAAUACAAGACUCAUCCGAGGCCUUGUAGUUGGAAUGAGUACUCUUUACCCCCGUUUCACAAGGAUCGAUUGGAGGGCAAGUCGGGUGCCACCACCCGCGGUAAUUCCCCCUCCAAUAACGUAUAUUAAAGUUGUUGUGGUUAAAAAGCUCGUAGUUGGAUUUCAGCGGGUAUAGGUUGGUUUGAAUUGCUUCCACACUGACUUUUUUACCCGUGUGUUUUGCCCGAAUUUAACGGGUGAUCUGGUCCGAUUGUCCGUUGGAACUGGUGAGUUUACUUUGAAAAAAUUAGAGUGCUCAAAGCAAGCUUACUGCUUGAAUAGUUGCGCAUGGAAUAAUAGAAUAGGAAGUCGUUUCUAUUUUGUUGGUUUUCGGAAAUCGACUUAAUGAUUAAUAGGGAUACUCGAGGUGCAUUCGUAUUCAAACGACAGAUGUGAAAUUCUUGGACCGUUUGAAGACGAUCUAAAGCGAAGUCUUUUGUCAUCAAUGUUUUCAUUUAUCAAGAACGAAAGUUAUCAGGUUCGAACGCGAUUAGAUACCGCCCUAAUUCUAACCAUAAACGAUGCCGGUAUCGAUCUGCCGGUCGUUUACUUUUCUGACUUGGCAGGCAGCUUCCUGCGAGACCGGAGCAUGGU
rnacentral:rRNA from 1 species